rnacentral:lncRNA from 1 species
AUCAUUCUUUCCUGCAUCAAUUUUGUCACGGUCCAAACUUAUUGUUCUGAAAAGCACUAGCCAAAGGCAAGACAUGGAUGCCGUGACUAUUCUCCUUUCCUACCAGGUCCUUAAGCGCCUUCUUCUUGAAAGUCCAGCUGCCAGUUCUCAGGUUGAAAUGGUAUAGAGGAAGAAAUCGUUGGCCAUAGAUGGCUACGAACUCCAACGCCGCAAGAAUGUAUUCAAACUCCUCAUUUGACAUGUAGUAAGGAAAGCUGACUCUUGUCCAUCCAGGUUUUGCUCCUAUGUAGCCCUGCAAUCAAACUUUGCAAUUGGCAUUAGAUAAGUUGAAUUAUAUUUUACUUCUCUUUCAUUUGGUCAAAAAAAAAAAAGGAAAAUUUUGUACUGAUACCCUUUUAAUAGCUUCUCUGAACGCAAGGGAUCGAGUCUGAUCAAUAUCAAGCAAACUGUGGCCAUAAGGUCCAGCACAAGCACACCCAUCUCGAUCUUGGAUGCCAAUCAGAUCAUUUAGGAUGGUUGCAACAAAAGGGCCAUGGAGAGGUUUAUCCCUCUUGUUCCCAGUCUCUCCCCACAUGAAAAGUCCCUUACCCUUUUCACCGCCCGUUCAACAUUGUUUAACCUCGUUGGUUGUGGAGUAGAUGAGGAAAAGACAUAUGGCUUGUCUCUGGGCUCGGUGCUUGAUUUCUAAACCCGUUAUGUUUUGGUUUGGAGAAAGCCUCAUCCAAUGCUUGAUUUAUGUCCAUACUUCUCCUGCUUUGGCAAUCACUCAUAACCAAUAUAUUCUUUUUACCCAAAAGUCAAUGCUGCUGCUAACAAUCUGAAUUAUUUGAGGAGUCCCUCCCAUUUUCCCCUUUCUUCUCAUGUCAUCUUACAUAUAUUGUGUCCUGCAAAAUACAUACCCCAUUUUACCACAUUUUAAAUUGCAUACCUGCUUCCCUAAAUGCUGGGGGAAUGAAUCUGAUAAUAUCAUGAUAACUUAUCAUUCUAUGUAGAAGUAUUUUUUAUGACACGUCGUGCCUUUAGGAAAUUUGGUUGGAAAAUCUCUUUUCUUCUUAAAAUUGUAAUUAAAAUAAAAAAAUUUUUUAGAGACACUUAUCAUUCACUAGUCUAUGUCUAAACCCGCUCCAUCUGAAUCAGGAAUUUAUUUCUAAACUCCAAAAAGCCUGACAGCUACCUAAUCAUUCUUUAUGUCGUCCAGUCGAAGAAAGAAACCAAAAUUUCUUACAAAAUGGGAUAUAUAAGCAAGAAUAAGAAAAAGGUAAAGAAAAUACAAAUUUCCAUUUUAUUGUAGAGAGGUGAACAAAAAAUAAAAUCUUUCAUCUAUUAAAUUGAAUUAAUCUGAACACAAAAAUAUAAUAAAAAUCUCUUCAUUUAUUAUCAAUUAAUUUUAAAUUUGAGUGUAAUUACCUGUUCAUUGAAGCCAUUGACAUAAUUAACAGUUCCACCUCCGCAAGUUGAUGGAGGAGAAGAUCCCAGCCGGUAGAGAGUCUUGCUCAUUAAAAGGAUGCCGGGCGUUCCAGGGCCACCUAGAAACUUAUGUGGGCUUAGGAAAAUGGCAUCAUAUCCAUCAAUCUCCCCUGACCUCAUAUCAAUCUCCACAUAAGGACCACUAUCCACAAAAACAAAAUGAUAAGCACUAUCAAAAAUCAACUUCUCAUUGCUUUAUAACAUUAACAUAAUACAUAAAACUUGGCUAAUAAUUAAUUGUGAGAUCUGUUAUUAAAAUAUUAAACUUUUAAUUUUAACAAUCAAAGAUUAAAUUCUGACAACCUCGAAUAUAAAAGCUUGACAACAAAAAAUGAAAAUUCUUACUGUGUACCUUGCUGCAGAAUCAAAGCAAACAAAACCUCCGUACUCAUGAAGAAGUUUGGCAAUCUCUCGAGUAUCUGUUUGAAUCCCAGUCACAUUACUACAAGCUGAAAAUGAGCCAAGCAAAGGCCUAUUGGCGUAUUUAUACAGCUCAACCUGUUUUCUUAGUGCUUCAAUGUCUAUGAACCCAUUCUCAUCUAAACCAAUCUCAACAACUUCAGCAAGGCUGUGACGCCAAGAAAGCAAGUUUGAGUGGUGCUCGUAAGGGCCAAUAAAAACUACCCAUCGAUACUCAUUCGGUAAGCAAUUUAUUACCAUGUCCCUCAAAAUUGAUGGUACCGUAAUCCCCAUAACUUCUUGUAGCCUUUUAAUAGCAGCCGUGUUGCCUGAGCCACAAAACAGAAUUGCAUCAUCUUGACCGCCUCCUAGGCUUCUUUUAAUGUAGUUUGACGCUUCAUGCACCAUUUUCGUCGUCCUGUGCCCCACGUAACAGUCAGACGUGUGAGUGUUACCUACGCACGAACCAACCAAGAUCAGCUGACAAAUACUAAAACCCUAAUAUAUAUAUAUAUAUAUAUAUUAUACUCGGAAAUGACGCCAUCACUUUUGUUAAUUAAAUCAGAGUAUCACAAUUGAAGAUCAGAAGAAAAAAAACCUUUACCGUAGAAUGGCAGAACAUUGGUGACGAUGAAGUUUUCGAUAUAGUGAAAAGAGCGACCCGAUGCAGUAUGAUCAGCAUAAGUAAGUUUUCUAGUUCCAAAAGGAGAGUCAAAUUCUGCAUCACCACCAGUGAUUUGAGAUCGUAGCCAAGACAGCUUUUUCUCGGUGGAGUCAACCUUUGGCACAUCCAUCUCUAGAGCCCUGAAUGAUUCCGAGCCAUGGAAGAGUUUGCUGGAAACAUAGGAACGGCAUGUUGAUCCUGGUGACUUAUGCCUGUCCCUGGUUGAAGUCUUACUAUCAUUUGCUGCCUUCAAUUUCAGGGCUUCCGUUGUUUCUCUAAACAUGGGUUGCUCAAACUCCAUUUCCCACCUGGAAACAAAGAUUAGUGCCUGUUUUUAUUGUUGUUGUCGCUUAUGACAGGAGAAAGAAUGGAAAAAGUAGUUGUAGAAGAAGAAAAAGAUAAGAAUGAGGGUAAGGAAGGCAGACUUCGUUAUUUAUAUCCUAUUAAAAUACAAAGUAACCUUUUGACACGGUUUCAUUUUUUUAAUUAAUAAAACAAAAAGACAAAGUUUUAGGCGUGAGGGGGGUUUGACUCCGAAACCAUGGCCUCUACACUCCAAUAAGAAAAAUAUUGCUGUCUCAGAAACAAUGGGAUCUCUAAAAAGGAUUGAAAAAAAAAAAAAAAAACCUACAGAAAAUAGUAAGCCUACGUUUGGAAUAUAUUAUUCCUUGGAGUGUAAGAAUUUCCAUAUUUCUCAUUCCUCUCCCUAAAAUUUGAUUAUGGAGUAUCAAAUAGCCCAAGCAAUUGUUAGAAAAACAUUGAACCUUUCCUGGUCUACUUGGUUUGGAACGUGAUGUAUCCAAUCUGCCGUAUUAAUAAGGAGAGCAUUGCUAUUUAGAGGUGUCAAUAAUAUACCCAUACUCACGAGUUAUUCAUUUUAUAAAUUAGAUUACUUAAUUGAUAAAAAGAAUGAGAAUUUUUGUAUCUCAUUAUAAUUUGCACGGAUAGUUAUGAUUUCAAAAGAGUAAAAUGUGUAAAGAAAGCAAAGAAUUUGAUUGCUUUUCAGAAACUUAAUAUGAUUUUGGCAAUAUGCAUGAUAAUUUUAUUAAUGAUUAUUCAUCAAUAAGUAACAUUUAUGAAUUAAAAUUAAAUUUUGAUUUAUUGAAAAAGUAUUAAAAAAAUCAGUUAAAAAAAAUAAAUGAAAGAAUGAAGAAACAAACAAACGGAUCAAAUAAAAAAAAAAUAAAAAGAGAACCAACACAAAAUAAAAGUAGUGAAAUAGAUCUUCAAACCAAUACUCCACCACACUCAAGGCUAUUCAUUUGUAUUUGUGAUGAAGUGGCAUAUUAAAAAUAAAUAAUUUAAUUUAAUUAAGAAUGAUUUAAGAUAAAUAAUAAAAAUUUGAUUACUAAUUGAUAUAAUUUUAACUAUAGAAGGUAAAUAAUACAUACUCUUUAAGGUAAUGUUGUUCUUUCCAAAAUAGUUAAAUAUAAAAAUAAGCCAUUUAUUAUGCAUUUCUUAUCAAUUUGGCACCAAAAAAAUAAAAUAUUUAGUUUGGCACUCUAAUUUUCUUUCUUUCAUCACUUUGUUAUCGGAAACUAGCGUCAUCAGUCAAUUUAUUGACGUGAUAUAAAUAUCUAAUAAGAUAUUAACACAUGCUGAGAAAAUCUAAUCAAUGUCAAAUCAUCAAUAUUACAUCCGAAUUUAAAGAAAAUUUAAAAAAAUUUAAAUAUUUUUUAAAAAAUAUUUAAGCAUUUUAAAAAUUAUUUUAAAAACAAAAACUAAAAUUUUAAAAAUUUUUAAAAAUUAUUAAAACUUAAAAAAUUAAAAAAAUCUCAAAAUUUUAUUAGAAAAAUAAAAAAAUUUUGAAAUUUUCAUAAAAAUGAUAAUUUUAGUAAACAUAAAGUUUUCAUAAAUUUAAAAAAAAAAUCUCUAAAGCUUAAAAAAUUGAAAGUAAAAGAUCUAAAAUUUUUUGAAAAUAUCUAAAAAUUUUAAAAUAAUUGUAAUUCUUAUAAAUUAGGAAAAUUCUUCAUUUUUUUAAUCUUACAAUUUUAAUUUUCUUAUAUAUUUUGUGAUUUUUUACAUUUUUUUAAAUGUUUAUGGAUUUUUAUUAAAAUUUUAAGUUUUUUAUUUUAUAUUUUUCAAAAAAUUUAAUUUUUAGUAAAUUUCUUAGAAUAUUUCAUAUUUUUGAAAUUUUUUUAAUUUUUUCAAAAUUUUUGAAAAUAUUUUAUAAAAUUUUAGAUUUUAAUAAAAAUUAGAUUUUUUGUAAUUUUCAAAUUUUGUCAAAAAAUUCUAGAUUUUUUAGUUUUUGUGAACCUAUUUUUUUUAAUUUUUUAGAAUAUUUUGGAUUUUUUUUGGAUUUUUUGUCAAAAUUUGAGAUUUUAUGAAUUUUUUAAAGUUUUGAUAUUUUUUUAAAUUUUAUGUUCAAAUAAGAUUUCAUAUUUAUUUAAUUUUUCUAAUUUUAAAAAUAUUUUAGCUUUUAAAUUUUGUUGAAUUUUUUUACUAUUGAUGUGGUAAUUGAUGAUGUGGCACUACUAAACUUUUUGAUACAUGUCAGUAUCUUAUUAGAUGUUAAUGCCAUGUUGACAAAUUGAGUAAUUGCUUUAGUACGAGGUAUCAAAGUAAAUGGCGAAAUGAAAGUUAAAGAACCAAAUUGAUAAUUUUGUUUCUUAAAGUACUAAACUGACAGAAAGUGUAUAGUACAUGAAAUAUUUUUAUAUUUAACUUUUCCAAUCAUGAAAAAACCUAAAAGAGACUUGAAAUUGUUAUACAUGUAAUCGAUAAUCAUUCCUUAGUGUUGACCUUUAGAGUUCAAAGGAUGUCUCAUACCCAAAUAAUUUUUGGGUUUUUCCUACAUGUAAUAAUAAUAUUAAUUACCAAAUUACUGCUUAAUUUGAAAAAAAAAUGACAUUAAUAUAAAGAUAAAUGUACAUAAAAGAGAAGUUCUUUGUCCUUAGCUCUUUCCCUAAACAGUUGGAUCUCUAGCUCUACCUGUAAAUCAUUUAACGAAACACAAAUCAAUUGAUUACGUCACAACAUAUAAGUGAUUUAGUUACAAAUUAUGAUUCUUCUCAAACAAUAAAAUGAUGGGUGAUUGUGAUUGGAAUGAAACAAUAAAAAAUUUUCAUCGAUGCCUUUCGUUGCUGUUUCAGACACAGACUUGGCAAUGGUAAUGAUAAAAUGAUUAGUGACUGUGGCCAUGAUUAAAUUUUUAAAAUAAUCUAAUGAUAAGAGAAUAAUAUGCAACAUAUCUUUCAAAUUUGAAAUAGUAAAAAACAAAUCUAAUCAAUUUUAAUCCAAAUAUACAUUUAAUAUUUUUGGUCAAUAUAUUCUUGAAAAAUGAUUAAAUUAAAAAAAAAAAGAAAAAUUCUAGAAUUGACAUUUAUGAAUUCAAGAUUUAUACAAAAUUUUUCAUAUUUGAUAGGUUUUCAUUUUGAAUUUAAAUAAUUUAUCAAAUAGAAUUACUUUAUAAACCCAUUUUAGAGAUAAUAUAUUAUUACAAUUGAGAUUUUUAUAUUUAAAAAAUAUGUUUAUAUUAUUAGGAAAUUUAUUUUUAAUAAAAAUAUAUCUAAAUUAGAUUUUAUUGUUAACAAUUUUAAAAUUAUCCAUGUAGAUAUCCAUAUAAGUUAAUUUUUUGUGGUAAAUUCCUAUGUGUCAAAAAAUGAUAUAUAUAUAUAUAUAGGCAUUUACAUAUCCCAUAAUACUUACAUCUAAAAUUUGAAAGUUUUCGAUAACUAAAUUUUUUUAAAUAUAUUAUUUCUUGAUAAAUAGCCUAAAAUUAAGAAAUGUCUUAUAUGUCGUUAUAGAGAAAUUUUAAGAAUUUUAUCACAUGUCGAAAAGAAAAACCAUCAAUGUAAGCAAACCUUAUCAUGUAACAAUGUAUCCUGUAAUAUAAUAUAUAUUAUAUUUUUUUAAAAGAUUAUUAGUUAUCCAAGUGAUAAAAAUAGUCAUACUUGACACAGACCCCAAGUCUUAAGAUUUCACAAUGUAUAUAAUAAACUUUAAUUUUCCAUGUGUACAUAUACUAACAAAGUAAAAUAACAACAUAAAAUGUCAACCAAUGAUUCUCAUCAUUCAAGCAUAGAUUUAAAUAUCACAUAGAUAUUCCAAGCAUAAAGGGAAAGGUCCAACAUAGAGACAAACCAUAAUGUGUGAGUAUAAAAGACAAAUGAUAUACUCUUAAUAAUAAAUUACAUCAAAAGACCCUAAAAUACCUAUGUUCUCAAUAUGUUUACCAAAUACUAUAGGUCUUAUUCCUGUAGUCCAAGGAUCAACAAUCACGUUGUUAGUCUGAAUGUGUUUGACAACAAUAUUAUAAUUUUUCAUAAAAUCCCUAACUUUAAAAUAUAUUAUCUCCAAAUGUUUAAACCACUAAUGCUCUUGUUGUUCUUAGAAAACAACAUAGUUGACCUAUUAUCCCAAUAAAUCUUUAAAGGUCUGGAGAUGGAAUUAAUAAUACAAAGGCCUGACAUAAAAUUCAUAAGCCAAAUUGCCUAUGUAGUAGCUCUAUCGCAUGCAACAAACUCAACUUGCAUAAUGGAAAAAAAUAAGAGUGUUUGUUUCACAUAUUUCCAAGACAAAGCUCCUACAUCGACAUAAAAAAAUACCUUGAAGUGGACUCCAUGUCAUCCUAACAACUAGUGAAGUUAGAAUUUAUAUACCCUAUUAUCUGAAGAUUGUCCAUUUUUUUGUAUACCAACGUAUGGUUUUUUUGUCUUUUGCAAGUACCUAAUCACCUUCUUAACAGCAACCUAGUGAUUCAUACUAGGAUUUGAAAGAUAUCUCUCAAGAACUCACUCUGCAAAAGCAAUAUCUAGCCUAGUACAAACUUGAGCAUACAUGAGACUCCCAACUGCACUAGAAUAUGGUAUGUUCAUCAUGGAUUCUUUCUCCAAAUCAUUCUUUGGGCAUUGACUAAGAUUAAGUUUAUCACCUUUAACAAUGAGUGCAUUCCUAGCCUUACAACUUUGUAUGUUAAAUUUAUUAAGCGCAUGAUUAAUGUAAGACCUUUGCAAUAGUCCCAACAAAUUUUGAGAUCUAUCUCUAUGAAUUUCAAUCCCAAGAACAAAGGAAGCAUUCCUAAGGUUUUUAUAUCAAAAGUCUUGGAGAAUAGCUACUUAAUUUCAUGUAACAAACCAAUAUCAUUACAAGCCACUAAGUGUCAUCCACAUAUAACACAAGAAAGAUAUAUUUACUCCCCCUAAUUUUAAGGUGUAUGUAUUGAUCAACUUUAUUUUCCUCAAAACCAAGGGAAGUAACUAUCUGAUCAAAUUUUAGAUACCUUUACUUAGAAGCUUAUUUAAGGGCAUAGAUUGACGUUUUAAGUCAACUUACUAAAUGUUCCUUUUCAGAUUCUUGAAAUCUUUUUGGUUGCAUAAUGUAAACCUUUUCUCUAAAAUCACAAUUGAGAAAAGCCGUCUUUACAUCCAUCUAAUAAAGCUUCAAGUUAAAGUGUACUACCAAGGCCAUAACAAUCCUAAAGAAAUUUUUGGAAGACACUGGUAAAAACAUUUUGUUAUAAUCUACUCUUUCCCUCUAAAUAAAUCACUUUGCCACCAAUGUAACUUUAAAUAUCUCAAAUUUUUCUUUAGACCCUUUCUUGGUUUUAUACACCUAUUUACAACCAAUGGAUUUAUACUCUUUUGGCUGUUUAACAAGCUCCUAAGCACCAUUUUGAGCCAUAAAAUUUAUCUCAUUUUUUAUUGCAUCCAUCCAUACAUUAAAUUACAAAUGCUAAUAGUUUCACCAAAAGUCACAAGGUUAACAACAUGACUAAUGUCAUAGUCACUCUCUCAAUGAUAAAUUACAUAAUCAUUAGAGAUGUCGGAUCUUCUUUGUUUAAAAGAUCUCCUAAAAGGUAUUUCAAUAUCAUUCUUUCAAACUUGAAGUACAUCAGUAGGAUGAAGGUUUAUGUCCUAUUGCCUUGAUCUCUUCUUUCAAUGGCCACUAGCAUAAUAUGGCACUGUAUUAUAGGUAAAGUUAUGAAGAUAUGUCUAACAGAUUCACGGUUAUCCACAGCCUCUAUCACACUCUUAUCAACAACAUGUAGUUUAAGAAACUUUGCCACAUGUGACUCUACAAACUUAGUUCCACGUAUAGGACAAUAAAACUUAUAUCCCUUGAAACGAUCUAGAUACUCUAAAGAAAAGCAAUGAGUACUCCUAGGUUCAAUCUUUUUCUCAAAAGGUUAUAGAUUCUAACUUCUGCAAGAAAUCCACAAACUUUAAAAUGAUUCAAUUGGGGUUUCAUACCAAUCUACAAUUCAGAAGUUGUUUUAGGAACAAAUUUACUAGGUACUUUAUUAAGUAUAUACAAGACGGUUUUAAUACCUUCACCUCAAAAGGACUUAAGAAGAUUGGUCCUACAUAUAAGCUCUUUAUCAUACCCUUAAGGGUGUGAUUUUGCCUUUCGACCACACCAUUAUGUUCAAGACUACCAAGCAUAGCAUAUCAAGAAAAAUCUGACAUUCUUGUAAGUAUUUAGAAAAUGGUCUCAUAUGUUAUCUAAUUUCGCCAUAUCUACCAUCAUACUCACCACCUUGGAGCUAAUGACUUUGAUAACUUUCCCUAAUUCUUUCUCUACCUCAGUUUAAAAAUUUUAAAUUUUUAAAAGCAUUUCAAUUUUCAUCAAUUAGGUCAAGAUACCCAUAGCGAAAAUAGUCAUAAAUAAAAGUAACAAAAUAUAUGUUACCACAAAAGAUAGAUAUAAGAGGUCCACUAUUAUUAGUGUACAUAAUUUUCAAAAGGUCAAAAUUGCAAAUUGCAUCAUUUUUCUUAGUCGUAGUUAGUAUAUAUUUUAUACAAUCAACACAAGUGUCUAACUUUUCAAAACCAAGGGAAGGUAAAGUACUAUUUUUUUAUCAAUUUUUGCACUUUUUCACUAGAAAUGUGACCCAACUUUUUACGCCACAACAAAAAAGACUUUUCUUUAGUUAGAGAUUUUUAAGAUACUGUCUUUUCCACAUUAUUGCAACUAUAUUAAUUAUCAUAUGCCAAGCACGGUUUGUAUAAAUUGUCAAUUAGUUUAAAUUCAUCAAUAAUGAAUUCUCUUUAGUCAAAGAUUUUUUAGUCACUAUUUUUUCAACAUUAUUGCAACUAUAUUAAUUAUUGUAGGCUAAGUUUAUAUAAAUUGUCAAUUAGUUUAAAUUCACCAACAACAUUUGAAUUUUAAAACAAGUCAACUUUUUCAUAUCCAAUGCCAAAAUAAUAACCAUGUUUGUCCAAAAUAAAAACUAAAAUGAAAUUCCUCUGAAAUGAAGGUGUAUGAAAAACAUUUUGCAAAAUAAGCUCAAAGUCAGAUUCUAAAUUUAAGCCUAUUGUUCCUACAUAAUUAAUGGCUACUUCAGUAUUGUUUCAAACUCUAUGUGUUGCCUUUUUCUCACUUAGCUUUCAUUUGUUUUUGAAUCCUAGCAAAGGUAACAACAAUAUGAAUAGUUAAACCACUAUCAACCUACUAGGAAUUUGGUAAGCCACUGACAAAUUAGGAUAUAAAACAAACGACAGCUAGUGAGUUCCCUUCUUAUUUAUUUUUUUUCUUUAACCAAGCUUGAUAUUUAGGGUAUUCAUGUUUCAUAUGACAUUUUUUUUAUAGGAAAAACACUUGAUAUCUUUCUUAAUGAUAGCUUUAAGCCCUCUUACCUUUGUAGUCUGACCACUACCUUAUCCCUUGUUUUCUUGAUCUUUCUUGUGAGCAUUAGGAACAAAUUUCCUAGAUUUCUCAUAAUUUUUUUUGUAAUUAUAUUUGGAGUAUGUAGCAAAAAAAAACACUUUCACCCAUUUCUUUCUACAGUUUUUCUUCCUUAGAGACAAACUUUUAAAUAAGAUCAUUAACACUUCAAAACCUCAUUCAUAGCAUUAUAGACAGUUUUGAUCUGAGUGAACUCCAAAAGUAAGGCAUUGAGGGCGUGAUGAACAAUGAAUUUAUCAAGAAUGUCAAUUUCAUGAGAAGUCAAUUUGGUUUGAAUGUGGACCAUUCUCAUGAUGAAAUCUCUAGCACUCUUAACACUAUCAUACCUUACUACUUGUAAGCUCACUCAUAAGGUUCUUAGCUUUACACUAUAAUGGAUUUUUGGUAAUUUAUUGCCUUCAGCAGGUAAAGAUCCCUUAAGCAAUUUUUGUGGUAUCCAACUCACUCAAAAGGUAUUCAAAAAUAGAAAUAUUAAUGACAUAUAGACGUAUAUGAUUUGUCUUUUCCCAUUUGGGAAAAUAUUCCUUUUCUUUAGCAAUGCUUUCAUUAGUAAAAUUAGCAGGCUUUGAAAAAUGUAAGGCUACGUCUAUCUCAUUUAUAACUAAAGCAAAAUUCAAAUCUUCAUUCCAUUUUUUAUAAUUAGACCCAUGAAGAACUUUAAUAGUUGCUUAUUGUUAUUGAUAAUAAAAGUCAACAUUCAAGAUAAAAAUGCAACAUUAGUAAAUGGCAAUAUCAUAAAAUAUAUAGCAACAGUUCAUGAUGUACUAACAAUUAUUGAAAGGUCUUGGUACAUCACCACAAACUCUUUUUUGGAUAAAGAAUGUAAUAUACGAGUGGGAACUUUUCGGAUAACGCUAAUAUGAAAAUGUGCUAGCUUUUAAAAAUUAUAUCCCCUUCGGACAGAUAGAUUUUCUAGAUUGGUAAAACUUCAACCAUGAUGAUUUAUAUUCCAAAACAAAUUACCUUAUACAUUAACCCCCUUUAGGCAGUCAAUUGCAUAAAAUAAUUUAAUAACCAUCCCGUAACCAUAGAAUGAUAAAAUAUUACAUUAAUUUCAAUAAGUGAGCCAUUUUGACAACCAAAUAUUGAUAUCAAUUAAUGAAGAUUUUUUCAAAUAAAAAAAUUUCAUUAAUUGCUCAAAACUCUCAGUUUACAAACUCAACCAUAAUGUGUGCAAUGGACUAUCCCAACUAAGAAACUAACCCUAAAUGUAUCUAAUUAGGUAUUAUAAGCAGUGUACAUUAAAUUUAAACUAGUGUCUUGAAUUUUUUUUAAAAUCAAUUUGUAAUUACUAAAUCAACUACGCACUUAAGAGCACAUAAAUAUCAAGGCCUAUUUAGGAAGAAUACCUAUUAUCAUUAGACUCUCAUCAUACCAAAAUAUCACAAAAUAAAAUAAUAAAUAAUAUGUAUAACAUAUAGUAAUUUCUGAGCAAUGCAUGAAUAUCAAACAAAUAUUUCAUGCAGUUUAAAAAUUUUAAAAAAAAUUAGAAAUAAAAUUCCAAGUUUGCCAAAACUAACUAAAGAAAAAAUGGUGCUAGACGAGACGACACGUGCCCCAUGUGCCACCCACCAUGCAUGGAUUUUGUUCAACAUGGGGAAUGGUUUUUUUUAACCUCUAAAUGAGUUGACUCAAUGCGACUGGAAUAAUUCUUUACCUAUUCUAGUCUGUUCGUAUUUUUCCACCAUUUUUUAUGCAUUUUCUUGGUAAUUUCAACAAAUUGAAGCGCCCAAAAAUAAAACAAAUUUUCUAUCAAACCCUUGAUAAAAAAGUAUAAAACAAUGACAAAAAUAAGAUCAAUUGGUUAAAAUUUUUCAAAUUACAUAAAUAUAUAUUAGACCGCUUUUUGUUUUUUUUGUGUUUGGCUAAUCUAAAACAAUAUGAAAUAAAAACGCUUUGAUUUAACUUUAUAACACAUGAGAAACAUGAUUCCAGAAUCAAUUUUUAAUUAAACACAUAAAAUGUUUGAUGUUUUAAUCAAAACAAGAAUUUAGAUUAAAACCUAAACCCAAAAAUUCUCAACCUUGAUUUCUCUUUCGAUAUAAGGAAUUAGAAAAUGAUCAUUAUAUAAUUUUAAUCUUUUUUUAGAGAGGAACUAAAAUCUUAAAUCAAUUUCAAAAAAUAAAGAUCAAAAUUUAAAAUUUUGACAAUAAUAUAAUUUCACACUAAAUAUGUUGUUUGUUCAAAAAUCAAUUACAAAUCAUGAUUUUAGGGGCCAAAUAUCACAUAAUGAUAGCUCUGAUACCACACGUAAACAUUAACCCAAGUUCAUUGUUUGAUAAUUAGAACAUCGUAAAUAAAUAAAGAGCUUUGUCAUACUUAUUUGGGUGGUCAUGACGAAUAUAUGAAGCAAAACAAUACUUAAAGUGCCUAGGUCUUCCUCUUCACUAUUCUCUUAUUAGUGACACUCAAUGAGCAGUAACUGUAACUCGUAUAAAAGUAAAAAAGAAAAGGUUAUCUGAACCUAUUUUUAUUGAAAACCCUUAAAGCCUCCUCAUCAAACACUUAGUAGACUAAAGGUCUACAAAACCUCUAAACCAGAUUGAUCUAGUAAGCUAUGUAAGUCUUACAUUUAAGUGAUCACAUUAAAUUAUUUAAACUCUCAAGCUUAUCUCGUAUUAAGAGUAAACACAUCAAUCAAUUUUAUUAAAUUAUUAAAACCAACUAUUAAUGGUAGCCCACUUAUGAACAAUUCUUGCUCUAUAUCCUAAUAAGACAUCAACAGAGAGUUUAUAAAGUAAAGAUGAAGACUAUAUAAAGAGCAAUGGUGGUGGAAAGAUUAUUUUCUAAAUAAAAAUUUGGAUGUUGAAGCGGUCUUCAUAAAAGAUGACUCUCUAUGUUAAAGUGGUUCCACUAAAAUAGUAUACUAAGGUCAUAUUUGAUACAUAUGAUUAUUAACAGAAUAUGAAGAAUAUUUGUAAGGUUUGCAAUGAGGAUUAAUAUCCUCUUGGUAUAGGAUUAUUCAACCCUCUCAAAGUAAAGAGGAUAAUUUUUAAAUUUAUAGAUUAAACUUGCAGGUUCAAUUAUACCCUUAAAAAUUACUUUAAUAAUUUAAAUUGUAUAAACUUUGAAUAAGGAUAAUUUUGACAAAUAAAUAAAUUAUCCUAUCCUAAUCUUUACAUAUAGCAAACACAAAAUAAGAUGACAUUAUUUAAUCUAAUUCUAUUUAUAAUAUCAUUGUACCCUAUCAAGUUAUAAUCUUAUGUACUAAACAUGGCAUAAGAUUAUUAUAUCUAUGUAUAUUGAUAUUAUUUGUUAUUUUAUAACUAAGCUUUUGCGAUUCACAUAUUGUGAGGGGUUUCUAUGAUAACUUUUUAAAAGGCUAUUUGGCAUGAUUGCAAAUACAUGACAUCAUACAUGCUAAUAAAGGAUUAGGAUAGAGCGGUAUAUUCGAAUUCACCCAUAAGGUACUGUGUGAAUUGAAUUCCUNNNNNNNNNNNNNNNNNNNNNNNNNNNNNNNNNNNNNNNNNNNNNNNNNNNNNNNNNNNNNNNNNNNNNNNNNNNNNNNNNNNNNNNNNNNNNNNNNNNNNNNNNNNNNNNNNNNNNNNNNNNNNNNNNNNNNNNNNNNNNNNNNNNNNNNNNNNNNNNNNNNNNNNNNNNNNNNNNNNNNNNNNNNNNNNNNNNNNNNNNNNNNNNNNNNNNNNNNNNNNNNNNNNNNNNNNNNNNNNNNNNNNNNNNNNNNNNNNNNNNNNNNNNNNNNNNNNNNNNNNNNNNNNNNNNNNNNNNNNNNNNNNNNNNNNNNNNNNNNNNNNNNNNNNNNNNNNNNNNNNNNNNNNNNNNNNNNNNNNNNNNNNNNNNNNNNNNNNNNNNNNNNNNNNNNNNNNNNNNNNNNNNNNNNNNNNNNNNNNNNNNNNNNNNNNNNNNNNNNNNNNNNNNNNNNNNNNNNNNNNNNNNNNNNNNNNNNNNNNNNNNNNNNNNNNNNNNNNNNNNNNNNNNNNNNNNNNNNNNNNNNNNNNNNNNNNNNNNNNNNNNNNNNNNNNNNNNNNNNNNNNNNNNNNNNNNNNNNNNNNNNNNNNNNNNNNNNNNNNNNNNNNNNNNNNNNNNNNNNNNNNNNNNNNNNNNNNNNNNNNNNNNNNNNNNNNNNNNNNNNNNNNNNNNNNNNNNNNNNNNNNNNNNNNNNNNNNNNNNNNNNNNNNNNNNNNNNNNNNNNNNNNNNNNNNNNNNNNNNNNNNNNNNNNNNNNNNNNNNNNNNNNNNNNNNNNNNNNNNNNNNNNNNNNNNNNNNNNNNNNNNNNNNNNNNNNNNNNNNNNNNNNNNNNNNNNNNNNNNNNNNNNNNNNNNNNNNNNNNNNNNNNNNNNNNNNNNNNNNNNNNNNNNNNNNNNNNNNNNNNNNNNNNNNNNNNNNNNNNNNNNNNNNNNNNNNNNNNNNNNNNNNNNNNNNNNNNNNNNNNNNNNNNNNNNNNNNNNNNNNNNNNNNNNNNNNNNNNNNNGUUUACAAACUCAACCAUAAUGUGUGCAAUGGAUUAUCCAACUAAGAAACUAAGCCUAAAUGUAUCUAAUUAGGUCUUAUAAGCAGUGUACAUUACAUUUAAACUAGUGUCUUGAAUUUUUUUUAAAAUCAAUUUUUAAUUACUAAAUCAACUACGCAUUUAAAAGCAUAUAAAUAUCAAGGCCUAUUUAGGAAGAAUACCUACUAUCAUUAGACUCUCAUCAUACUAAAAUAUUUUAUCACAAAAUAAAAUAAUAAAAUAAUAUGUAUAACAUAUAGUAAUUACUAAGCAAUACAUGAAUGUUAAACAAAUAUUUUCAUGCAGUUUAAAAAUUUUACAAAAAAUUAGAAAUAAAAUUCCAAGUUUGCCAAAAGAAACUAUAGCAAAAAUGGUGCUAGACAAGCCCGCACGUGCCACAUGUGCCACCCACCAUGCAUGGAUUUUGUUCAAGAAAGGGAAUGGUUUUCUUUAACCUCUAAAUGAGUUGACUCAAUGCGACUGAAACAAUUCUUUACCUAUUCUAGUCUGUUCGUAUUUUUCCACCAUUUUUUAUGCAUUUUUUUCAGUAAUUUCAACAAAUUGAAAUGCCCAAAAAUAAAACAAUUUUUAUAUCAAAACCUUGAUAAAAAAUUAUAAAAAAAUGACAAAAAUAAGAUCAAUUGGUUAAAAUUUUUCAAAUUACAUAAACAUAUAUUAGACCCUUUUUGUUUUCUUCGUGUUUGGCCAAUCUAAAACAAUAUGAAAUUAAAUGCUUUGAUUUAACUUUAUAACACAUGAGAAACAUGAUUCAAGAAUCAAUUUUCAAUUAAACACAUAAAAUGUUUGAUGUUUUAAUCAAAACAAGAAUUUAGAUUAAAACUUAAACCUAAAAAUUUUCAACCUUGAUUUCUCUAUCGAUAUAAGGAAUUAGAAAAUGAUCUUUAUACAAUUUUAAUCCUUUUUAGAGAGGAACUAAAAUCCUAAAUCAAUUUCGAAAAAUAAAGAUCAAAAUUUAACAUUUUGAAAACAACAUAAUUUCACACUAAAUAUGUUGUUUGUUCAAAAAUCAAUUACAAAUCAGGAUUUUAGGGGCCUAAUAUCACAUAAUGAUAGCUCUGAUACCACACGUAAACAUUAACCCAAGUUCAUUGUUUGAUAAUUGGAACAUCGUAAACAAAUAAAGAGAUUUGUCAUACUUAUUUUGGUGGUCAUGACGAAUAUAUCGAAGCGAAAUAAUACUUAAAGUGCCUAGGUCUUCCGCUUCACUCUUCUCUUAUUGGAGACACUCAAUAAGCAGUAACCGUAACUCGUAUAAAGUAAAAAAAAAAAAAAGGUUAUCUGAACCUAUUUUAAUUGAAAACCCUUGAAGCCUCCUCAUCAAACACUUACUAGACUAAAGGUCUACCAAACCUCCAAACCAGAUUGAUCUAGUAAGAUGUGUAAGUCUUACAUUUAAGUGAUCACAUUAAAUUAUUUAAACUCUCAUGCUUAUCUUGUAUUAAGAGUAAACACAUCAACCAAUUUUAUUAAAUUAUUAAAACUAACUAUUAAUGGCAGCCCACUUAUAAAUUAUUCUCGCUCUAUAUCCUAAUAAGACAUCAACGGGGAGUGUAUAAAGCAAAAAUGAAGACUAUAUAAAGAGCAAUGGUGGUGGAAAGAUUGUUUUAUAAACAAAAAUUUGGAUGUUGAAGCGGUCUUCAUAAGAGACGACUUUCUGUGUUAGAGUGGUUCCAUUAAAAUAGUAUACUAAGGUCAUAUUUGAUACAUAUAAUUAUUAAUAGAAUAUGAAGAAUAUUCGUAAGGUUUGCAAUGAGGAUUAAUAUCCUCUUAGUAUAGGAUUAUUCAAUCAUCUCAAAGUAGAAAGGAUAAUUUUUAAAUUUAUAGAUUAAACUUAUAGGUUCAAUUAUACCCUUAAAAAUUAUUUUAAUAAUUUAAAUUGUAUAAACUUUGAAUAAGGAUAAUUUUGACAAAUAAAUAAAUUAUCCUAUCAUAAUCUUUACAUAUAGCAAACACAAAAUAAGAUGACAUUAUUUAAUCUAAUUUUAUUUAUAAUAUCAUUGUACCCUAUCAAGUUAUAAUCUUAUGUACCAAACAUGGCAUAAGAUUAUUAUAUCUAUGUAUAUUGAUGUUAUUUGUUAUUUUAUAACUAAGCUUUUGCGAUUCACAUAUUGUGAGGGGUUUCUGUGACAACUUUUUGAAAGGCUCUUUGGUGUGAUUGCAUAUACAUGACAUCAUACAUGCUAAUAAAGGAUUAGGAUAGAGCGGUAUAUUCGAAUUCACCCAUAAGGUACUGUGUGAAUUGAAUUCCUCAAUUCUUUUUAUUCAUGACCUAGAUUGGUGUAUUAUAUUACAGAAUGGUGGUGUAUCACAAUGAUUUUAUGUUGUUGUACAGCAAUUAUUGUUCAUUUCUUCAAACAUCAGUAAAUAAGAUUGAAGAACAGGUGCAUUGUCCUAAAACCAAAUGAACUUGAGUAAAAACCAUCAGCUCUAGGGAUUUUCGAAGAACUUGGAUAUCAUUUUGUUUAUUGAGAACCAAAUGAUGGAAAGAAAUAGGAAAGUAGUAUCGAAAUUAGGAAUAACCUUUAGUUUACAAUAGAUAAGUUGGUUGAUUUUGUCUGUGUACACUCGGGUAUACUAUUUUUUAUUUAUGUUAAUGAGCCUCACACAAAUCUUCAAUUUGGCUGACUUUAGGACUGAUAUUAGGUUCUGGAAGUCUAGAAUGCCUACUGAAUAUAUAGGGUGAAGAAAUCUAAAUAUUCAAUACUGAAAUUAUUUUAUACCUUGAUCUUAGCAUAUGAUAUUGGAAGUAGUUUACUAAAAUUGGGUAAGUUAUAUUGAGACAUUGAUAUUUCAAUUGGCUAUAUGUUAUACCUUUUUCAUAUUUUUUUAUCCUAAAGAUUGAAGGAAAAAUUCUAUUUUUAGAUGAGAUGUUAUGAUUUGCAAGAGUGAAUUAAAAUGGAAUUUGUAUUAAUGGAUAAAUUAUUACUUUAAGUAUUAUAUAUUGUUGGAAAGCUUGUUGAAUUUACUUUACAAUGAAAUAAACGUAAGUCGAAUCAAAGUUUUCUAUUAAGAGUUGUGUAAUUUUUAUUUAAUGAUAUGUAGACUGCCUGACAACGGUAGCAAUGAGGAAUUACAAAAUUUCUCUGAAUUUUUAUACAAUGAAUUACGAAUUGAGCCAUACAUGUUUAAAAAGGUUAUUGAGUUUAUAUUCCAAUGAAACAAGCAGAAUUGAAUUUGGAGUCUUUUAUGAAUAAAGAUAUCAUUUUGAUUACAAUACAUACAUGUUGUCUGGUAGUAGCAUAUGAUAUGGAUUGCAAAAAUUAUUACAAUUAAUCUACAAUAAAUUAUGAGGUGGGCCAUAUAUGUUGUCAUAACAUCUAGAUCCAGAGAUCCAUUGCUAGAUAUUAUUUUUAAGAGUCGUCACCAAUCUUUUUUAUCUAGGUGCGAUUGGUCACCUAGAGAAUUUAUCCUUUUAAAGAACACCUAAGCCUAAGGGUCCCUAAAAGAAUAGUUUUAGGUCUACUAAUCGGUACAGGGUUCGAGAGUACAGUUACGUGUGAGGAAGGUUAUAGCACCUUCACAACGCCCAUCUAAAGAUGGUACCAGCUUAAUUUUAUGUUAUCCAAUAAGCUUUAAAAAUUUACCAAGUAAUUAAUUAUUAGAAAUUAUUCUUAAUUGACUCUAAUACUUUUAGUAGAAAAUUGAAAAAAUUCCCUCACCUAAAGAGUAUGCAAGGAAACUACUGUUUCACUUGCAGAGGCUCUAUCGUCGGAUUAUUUAACAUUAAAGAAAAUUCAAAAAAAAAAAGAAAUAAAAUGAGAAAAAAAAGAAUAACAAUUCAACUUUAGAUAUAAAUCCUUUUCUCUUAAAAAACUCAUUGCUUUUGUACAAAAAAAUUGAUACUUUUAAAUUUUCCUCAAAAGCAUUUGAGAGUUUCUAUUUUUAAAAAAAUUGAUACUUUCAACUUUUUCUUAAAACGUUUUUUUUAAGAAAAAUUGAUACUUUCAACUUUUCCUCAAAAUGUUUUUCAGAAACUUUAAUUUCGAGGAAAAUUGAUAUUUUUAACUUUUUCUCAAAAAUAUUUUUUUUAAUUUAUUUUUAAGGAAAAUUAAUACUUUUACCUUUUCCUUUAAAAUAUUUUUUAGAAAAUUAUUUUCAAGGAAAAUUGAUACUUUCAACUUUUCCGUGAAAAUAUUUUUUAAAAAAUUUAUUUUUAAGAAAAAUUGAUACUUUCAACUUUUCCUCAAAAAUAUUUUUUUAGAAUUUUAUUUUAAGAAAAUCAUUAAAAAUAAAAUAAAAUAAAAAUCAGAAUAAAAAUAAAAUAAGGAAUACCAAAUUAUUCUAAUCUAAUCAAUAAAUAAUAAUAAUAAUAAUAAUAAUAAUAUAAUAAUAAUAACAAUAAUAAUAAUACUAAUAAAAGAAAUAAUAAUAAUAAUAAAUAAGAAAAAAAACUUUUGGAAUGGCUCGGCUCGGCUUAAGAGAUAAAAGUGAUUUAAACGUGAGGCUCAGCUGGAAACAGCUCGGUUCGGCUGGGGUCCAGGCAGAGACGUGGGUCGCUAAUCAGGUUGGUGCUCGGGUUGAGUCAUCCAAUUUCAAAACACGUGGAUCUUUUAAGAAUAGUAAGGCUAAAACGACAUCGUUUUCAGUCGGUAUAAAAGGCUUCUACUUCUGUUUCUUCGUAGAUUGUUUCCUUUCUCCUCUCUCUCUUCUUUUUUUUUCUCUUCCUUCUCUCUAAAUAGAAUCUAGAUUUCGGUUGAAUGUCUAUCGAAAUCUGGAAAAACAGGUCAAAAACUUUAAAGUUGGCCCAAAAUCUCGCCAAAAAAGUUGAAUCUUACCGAAAAAUUUCACCCGAUUCUGAAAAGUUUUAGAAAAUUUCAAAAAAAAAACUCAAAAAUUCUAAAAACUUUUUCGCAAAUUCCUAACGUUGUUUCUAACGCACCAGAACUUUUUUUAACCUCUGUUUCCCCUUUAUGUAUUUUUCGAUCUUUUUAUGUGCUCUCUGUGGACCUAUUUAUAAGGAUUGAUCAGAAGAGUUUCUGAUCAAUCCCAACGCCUUUUGGGAUUUUGAUUCAAUCUUUGAAUCCAAUCCCAAUUCUGCCAACCUCCAAUUUCAUGACCAAAUCCAAUUUUUUUUUAUCCUAAUCCUAGCAGAAAAUCAAUCAAGAUAAAAUAAAAAAAACACAUAUUAAUAGUUAAUAGAUAAAUAAUAAAAAAAUAUAUUAAUAAAUAAUAAUAAUAAUAAAAAAAUAAAAUACCCAUUUGGACCAAGCCCAAUUGAUCCGGGCCCGGAUCAAAUUGGGUGUCUACAUAUGUUUGAAAAGGUUUUUGAGUCUACUUUUCGAUUAAAUAAGCGAAAUUAAAUUUGGAGUCUUUUAUGAAUAAAUAUAUAAUUUUUAUUAAAAGAUAUAUAUACUAUCUGAUAGCAACAUAUGACAUAGAUUGUAAAAGUUAUUACAAUUAAUCUACACGAAAUUACGAGGUGGGCUAUAUAUAGUUAAAAAAUUUAUCGAGUUUAAUUUCUAAUGUACUAAAAAGAUUUUAAUUUUGAGUUGGAUAUCUUAAGAUAGGGUCAUUUUAGUGAAAGUAGCAUAGGCUACUAAAAUUAGUUAGUUAACCCUUAUAUAACUUAGUUGCUUUUAGUAUUAAUGGUCUUAAAUUGGAUUAAUUAAUUUUUGUUAUAUUGAAAUGAUUUUGAAUAGCCCAUUAAUUAUUUUGGGGGAAAAACUAAGUGGUGGAACCAAAAGGAAAUAAGUAGAAUCUUACACAUUUUGCUUAUUUUGAAACUUAUGUAUAUAUGUAUGUUUCUAAAUAAAUGAGAUUUAUUUCUUUAUUUUCGAUAUAAGAAAAUAGGCUGAGCAUAUGAUUAUUUUACGUUUUGCUAUAUAAAUGACGGAUCAUGUUUAUAAAUGAAAUGAGAAAUUGAUUUAUGCUUAAUGAAUGAUUUUAUAAUAGCUACAUAUUUUACAUCUUGAGAAGUGGGAUUAUCGAUACCAAAACUAGCUAUACUACCCUAGCUAACGGAUUAUAGUAGUUAAUAUAGUCACGAUCAAAUGGCACUACUAGUGGGUCAUAGUAGUUAGUGUAAAGGUUUGGCCAGCAGAUUAUAAUAGUUAGUAAAGAUCAUAAGGAUAAAAUUAUCAAUAUUUCCAAUGUUACGGAUUAUAGUAGUGAUCAUUGUUAAUGAUAAAGUAAUGAUAAUGAUGAUUUAUGAUGAUGAUGAUUUUAAAGAUUGAUUCAUGAUUUGAUUUAAUUACGAUAUUUGAAUGGUAACAUAUUUUGGAAUGAUUUAUGAAUUGAUCUAUUUUGAUUUUGAUUUAUGAUCUACAAAAUAUUUGACAUAAUGUUGAUUUUUGAAAUAUUUUGAUGUAUUAUUUGACAAAUGUUUCGAAUUAUCUAUAUGAUAUGUAUGAAACCGAUGUUUGAUCCGAUAAAGUGCAUGAUCCUAUACUAGAUUAGCUGGAAUUUGUUCAUUCUCUUUUUACCUUUUCUUUACACAUGAGUAACUGAUAAGUAUAUUUAGUCUUACUAAAAGCUAGAAGAUCAAUUUGGAAAUAUUACUUGGACAUUAGAAAUAUUGUUAGCUAGUGAGAUCUUAUGAAAUUAUUUUAUAUGUUUUUUAUUAAUUAACCUUUGAUAUAUAGAGAUGUAUCACUAGUUAGAUUAAAUUUAUGAAUUUUACUUGGCAAAUUAUUUUUAUUAAAGAAUUUUAAAAUGAUUAAGAGAAAAAAUUUCGUAUUACUUUAAAGUUUUAUUUGAAGAUAAUAUAACGGUGUUACAUCUUAGUUUUGGGGCAUGACACCAUUAUUAGACAAGUCUUGACCAGAUUGGAUUACGUAUCAGCCAAUUUGUCAGGCAUUGCAACAGAUUUCAGGUAAUUGGAGAGUCUGCAAACAUGACAGGCUUGAGCUAGUUUAAUUUCUGCUUUUGCUUUGUGAGACUAUUCCAAUGAAGUGAGGAAAGAUAGAUAAAUUUGAUUAUGAACUCGAAUCCAUUUUUGAUAGUAUAGUUAGACUCUGAAAGGGAGGAGGUUAAGAUUCAAAUCUUCGUGAAACCUCCUUCGAGAUGGAAACUUGGGAAGGAGAGCAGCGACUCGUUUGGCACUUUUCAAAUAUGAUGCAUACUGAAGGAUGACAGGAGUAUCAUUCUUUCCUGCAUCAAUUUUGUCACGGUCCAAGCUUAUUGUCUGAAAAGCACUAGCCAAAGGCAAGACAUGGAUACCGUGACUAUUCUCCUUUCCUACCAGGUCCUUAAGCGCCUUCUUCUUGAAAGUCCAGCUGCCAGUUCUCAGGUUGAAAUGGUAUAGAGGAAGAAAUCGUUGGCCAUAGAUGGCUACGAACUCCAACGCCGCAAGAAUGUAUUCAAACUCCUCAUUUGACAUGUAGUAAGGAAAGCUGACUCUCGUCCAUCCAGGUUUUGCUCCUAUGUAGCCCUGCAAUCAAACUUUGCAAUUGGCAUUAGAUAAGUUGAAUUAUAUUUUACUUCUCUUCAUUUGGUCAAAAAAGAAAAAAAGGAAAAUUUUGUACUGAUACCCUUUUAAUAGCUUCUCUGAACGCAAGGGAUCGAGUCUGAUCAAUAUCAAGCAAACUGUGGCCAUAAGGUCCAGCACAAGCACACCCACCUCGAGCUUGGAUGCCAAACAGAUCAUUUAGGAUGGUUGCAACAAAAGGGCCAUGGAGAGGUUUAUCCCUCUUGUUCCCAGUCUCUCCCCACAUGAAAAGUCCCCUACCCUUUUCCUUUGCCUCGUCAACAUUGUUACCAUCGUUGGUUGUGGAGUAGAUGAGGAAAGACAGUAUGGCUUGUCUCUGGGUCUCGGUGCUUGCAUUUCCUAAAACCCUUAUGUUUUGGUUUGGGAGAAGCCUCUCCAAUGCUUGAUUUAUGUACGACUUCUCCUGCUUUGCAAUCACUUCAUAACCAAUAUAUUCUUUUACCCAAAAAGUCAAUGCUGCUCUAACAAUCUGAAUUAUUUGAGGAGUCCCUCCAUUUUCCCUUUCUUCUAUGUCACUUGCAUAUAUUGUGUCCUGCAAAAUAAAUACCCCAUUUCGCCACAUUUUAAAUGCAUACCUGCUUCCCUAAAUGCUGGGGAAUGAAUCUGAUUAAUAUCAUGAUAACUUAUCAUUUUCUAGAGUAUUUUUCUACUGGCACUGUCGUGCAUUCAGAAAUUUGGUUGGAAAUCUCUUUUCUUCUAAAAUUGUAAUUAAAAUAAAAUUUUUUUAGAGACACUUAUCAUUCACUAGUCUAUGUCUAAACCCGCUCCAUCUGAAUCAGGAAUUUAUUUCUAAACUCCAAAAAGCCUGACAGCUACCUAAUCAUUCUUUAUGUCGUCCAGCCGAAGAAAGAAACCGAAAUUUCUUACAAAAUGGGAUAUAUAAGCAAGAAUAAGAAAAAGAUAAAGAAAAUACAAAUUUCCAUUUUAUGGUAGAGAGGUGAACAAAAAAUAAAAUCUUUCAUCUAUUAAAUUGAAUUAAUCUGAACACAAAAAUAUAAUAAAAAUCUCUUCAUUUAUUAUCAAUUAAUUUUAAAUUUGAGAGUGAUUACCUGUUCAUUGAAGCCAUUGACAUAAUUAACAGUUCCACCUCCGCAAGUUGAUGGAGGAGAAGAUCCCAGCCGGUAGAGAGCCUUGCUCAUUAAAAGGAUGCCGGGCGUUCCCGGGCCACCUAGAAACUUAUGUGGGCUUAGGAAAAUGGCAUCAUAUCCAUCAAUCUCCCCUGACCUCAUAUCAAUCUCCACAUAAGGACCACUAUCCACAAAAACAAAAUGAUAAGCACAAUCACAAAUCAACUUCUCAUUGCUUUAUAACAUUAACAUAAUACAUAAACUUGGCUAAUAAUUAAUUGUGAGAUCUGUUAUUAAAAUAUUAAACUUUUAAUUUUAACAAUCAAAGUUUAAAUUCUGACAACCUCGAAUAUAAAAGCUUGACAACAAAAAAUGAAAAUUCUUACUGUGUACCUUGCUGCAAAAUCAAAGCAAACAAAACCUCCGUACUCAUGAAGAAGUUUGGCAAUCUCUCGAGUAUCUGUUUGAAUCCCAGUCACAUUACUACAAGCUGAAAAGGAGCCAAGCAAAGGCCUAUUGGCGUAUUUAUAGAGCUCAAGCUGUUUUCUUAGUGCUUCAAUGUCUAUGAACCCAUUCUCAUCUAAACCAAUCUCAACAACUUCAGCAAGGCUUUGACGCCAAGAAAGCAAGUUGGAGUGUUGCUCGUAAGGGCCAAUAAAAACUACCCAUCGAUACUCAUUAGGUAAGCAAUUUAUUACCAUGUCCCUCAAAAUUGAUGGUACCGUAAUCCCCAUAACUUCUUGUAGCCUUUUAAUAGCAGCCGUGGUGCCUGAGCCACAAAACAGAAUUGCAUCAUCUUGACCGCCACCUAGGCUUCUUUUAAUGUAGUUUGACGCUUCAUGCACCAUUUUCGUCGUCCUGUGCCCCACGUAACUGUCAGACGUGUGAGUGUUACCUACGCACGAACCAACCAAGAUCAGCUGACAAAUACUAAAACACAAAAAAUAUAUCUAUAUAUAUAUAUAUAUAUAUUAUACUCGGAAAUGACGCCAUCACUUUUGUUAAUUAAAUCAGAGUAUCACAAUUGAAGAUCAGAAGAAAAAAAACCUUUACCGUAGAAUGGCAGAACAUUGGUGACGAUGAAGUUUUCGAUAUAGUGAAAAGAGCGACCCGAUGCAGUAUGAUCAGCAUAAGUAAGUUUUCUAGUUCCAAAAGGAGAGUCAAAUUCUGCAUCACCACCAGUGAUUUGAGAUCGUAGCCAAGACAGCUUUUUCUCGGUGGAGUCAACCUUUGGCACAUCCAUCUCUAGAGCCCUGAAUGAUUCCGAGCCAUGGAAGAGUUUGCUGGAAACAUAGGAACGGUAUGUUGAUCCUGGUGACUUAUGCCUGUCCCUGGUUGAAGUCUUACUAUCAUUUGCUGCCUUCAAUUGCAGGGCUUCCGUUGUUUCUCUAAACAUGGGUUGCUCAAACUCCAUUUCCCACCUGGAAACAAAGAUUAGUGGCUGUUUUUAUUGUUGUUGUAGCUUAUGACAGGAGAAAGAAUGGAAAAAGUAGUUGUAGAAGAAGAAAAAGAUAAGAAUGAGGGUAAGGAAGGCAGACUUGGUUAUUUAUAUACUAUUAAAAUACAAAGUAACCUUUUGACACGGUUUCAUCUUUUUAAUUAAUAAAACAAAAAGACAAAGUUUUAGGCGUGAGGGGGGUUUGACUCCGAAACCAUGGCCUCUACACACCAAUAAGAAAAAUAUUGCUGUCUCAGAAACAAUGGGAUCUCUAAAAAGGAUUGAAAAAAAAAAAAAAACCUACAGAAAAUAGUAAGCCUAUGUUUGGAAUAUGUUAUUCCUUGGAGUGUAAGAAUUUCCAUAUUUCUCAUUCCUCUCCCUAAAAUUUGAUUAUGGAGUAUCAAACAGCCCAAGCAAUUGUUAGAAAAACAUUGAACCUUUCCUGAUCUACUUGGUUUGGAACGUGAUGUAUCCAAUCUGCCGUAUUAAUAAAGAGAGCAUUGCUAUUUGGAGGUGUCAAUAAUAUACCCGUACUCACGAGUUAUUCAUUUUAUAAAUUAGAUUACUUAAUUGAUAAAAAGAAUGACAAUUUUGGUAUCUCAUUAUAAUUUUCACGGAUAGCUAUGAUUCCGAAAGAGUAAAAUGUGUAAAGAAAGCAAAGAAUUUGAUUGCUUUUAAACUUAGUAUGAUUUUGGCAAUAUGCAUGAUAAUUUUAUUAAUGAUUAUUCAUCAUUAAGUAACAUUUAUGAAUUAAAAUUAAAUUUUGAUUUAUUGAAAAAGUAUAAAAAAAUCAGUUAUAAAAAAUAAAUGAAAGAAUGAAGAAACAAACAAACGGAUCAAAUAAAAAAAAUAAAAAGAGAACCAAUACAAAAUAAAAGUAGUGAAAUAGAUCUUCAAACCAAUACUCCACCACAAUAAAGGCUAUUCAUUUGUAUUUAUGAUGAAGUGGCAUAUUAAAAAUAAAUAAUUUAAUUUAAUUAAGAAUGAUUUAAGAUAAAUAAUAAACAUUUGAUUACUAAUUGAUAUAAUUUUAACUAUAGAAGGUAAAUAAUACGUUCUCUUUAAGGUAAUGUUGUUCUUCCAAAAUAGUUAAAUAUAAAAAUACCCAUUUAUUAUGCAUUUUUUUUAUCAUUUGCACCCAAAAAAAUAAAAUAUUAGUUUGGCACUCUAAUUUCAUUAUUUCAUCACUUUGUUAUCGGAGACUAGCGUCGUCAGUCAAGUUUAUUGAUGUGGUAUAUAACACUCGAUAAGGAUAUUAACAUAUGCUAAGAAAAGCUAAUCAAUGUCAAAUCAUCAAAAUUACAUCUGAAUUUAAAGAAAAUUCUAAAAAAAAUUUAAAAUAUUUUUUAAAAAAUAUUUAGCUUCUAAAAAAAUUAAUUUUAAAACCAAAACUAAAAUUUUUAAAAAUUUUUAAAAAAUUACCAAAACUUAAAAAAUUCAGAAAAAUCUCAAAAUUUUAUUAGGAAAAUAAAAAACUUUUCAAAUUUUCAUAAAAAUCAUAAUUUUAGUAAACAUAAAAGUUUUCAUAAAUUUAAAAAAAAUCUCUAAAGCUUAAAAAAAUUGAAAGUAAAAGAUCUAAAUUUUUUUGAAAAUAUCUAAAAAUUUUAAAAUAAUUGUAAUUCUUGUAAAUUAGGAAAAUUCUUCAUUUUUUUAAUCUUACAAUUUUAAUUUUCUUAUAUAUUUUGUGAUUUUUUACAUUUUUUUAAAUGUUUAUGGAUUUUUAUUAAAAUUUUAAGUUUUUUAUUUUAUAUUUUUCAAAAAAAUAUUAACUUUUUGUAAAUUUCUUAGAAUAUUUCAUAUUUUUGAAUUUUUUUAAUUUACUCAAAAUUUUUGAAAAUAUUUUAUAAAAUUUUAGAUUUUAAUAAAAAUUUGAUAUUUUUUUAAUUUUCAAAUUUUGUCAAAAAAGUCCAGAUUUUUUAUUAUUUGUAAACCUCUUUUUUAAUUUUUUAGAAUUUUUUUGGUUAUUUUUUAAUUUUUUAUCAAAAUUUUGAGAUUUUAUGAAUUUUUUUAUGUUUUGAUAUUUUUUAAAAUUUUAUGUUCAAAUAAGAUUUCAUAUUUAUUUAAUUUUUUUAAUUUUUAAAAAUAUUUUAGACUUUUAAAUUUUGUUGAAAUUUUUUACUAUUAAUGUGGUAAUUGAUGAUGUGGCACUACUGAACUUUUUGAUACAUGUCAGUAUCUUAUUAGAUGUUAAUGCCAUGUUGACAAAUUGAGUAAUUGCUUUAGUACGAGGUAUCAAAGUAAAUGGCGAAAUGAAAGUUAAAAAUCCAAAUUGAUAAUUUUGUUUUUGAAAGUACUAAACUGACAGAAAGUGUAUAGUACAUGAAAUAUUUUUAUGUUUAACUUUUCCAAUCAUGAAAAGACCUAAAAGGAGACUUGAAAUUGUUAUACAUGUAAUCGAUAAUCAUUCCUUAGUGUUGACCUUUAGAGUUCAAAGGAUGUCUCAAACCCAAAUAAUUUUUGGGUUUUUCCUACAUGUAAUAAUAAUAUUAAUUACCAAAUUAUUGCUUAAUUUGAAAAAAAAAUGACAUUAAUAUAAAGAUAAAUGUACAUAAAAGAGCAGUAACUGUAACUCGUAUAAAAGUAAAAAAAAAAAAAAAAGGUUAUCUGAACCUAUUUUAAUUGAAAACCCUUGAAGCCUCCUCAUCAAACACUUACUAGACUAAAGGUUUACAAAACCUCUAAACCAGAUUGAUCUAGUAAGAUGUGUAAGUUUUACAUUUAAGUGAUCACAUUAAAUUAUUUAAACUCUCAUGCUUAUCUUGUAUUAAGAGUAAACACAUCAACCAAUUUUAUUAAAUUAUUAAAACUAACUAUUAAUGGCAGCCCACUUAUAAAUUAUUCUCGCUCUAUAUCCUAAUAAGACAUCAACGGGGAGUGUAUAAAGCAAAAAUGAAGACUAUAUAAAGAGCAAUGGUGGUGGAAAGAUUGUUUUAUAAACAAAAAAUUUGGAUGUUGAAGCGGUCUUCAUAAAAGACGACUUUCUGUGUUAGAGUGGUUCCAUUAAAAUAGUAUACUAAGGUCAUAUUUGAUACAUAUAAUUAUUAAUAGAAUAUGAAGAAUAUUCGUAGGUUUGCAAUGAGGAUUAAUAUCCUCUUGUAUAGGAUUAUUCAAUCAUCUCAAGUAGAAAGGAUAAUUUUUAAAUUUAUAGAUUAAACUUACUGGUUCAAUUAAUACUCUUAAAAAUUACUUUAAUAAUUUAAAUUGUAUAAACUUUGAAUAAGGAAUUUUUGACCAAUAAAUAAAAUUAUCCUAUCCUAAUCUUUACAUAUAGCAAACACAAAACAAAAUGACAUUAUUUAAUCUAAUUUUAUUUAUAAUAUCAUUGUACCCUAUCAAGUUAUAAUCUUAUGUACCAAACAUGGCAUAAGAUUAUAUAUCUAUGUAUAUUGAUAUUAUUUGUUAUUUUAUAACUAAGCUUUUGCGAUUCACAUAUUGUGAGGGGUUUCUGUGACAACUUUUUAAAAGGCUAUUUGGUGUGAUUGCAUAUACAUGACAUCAUACAUGCUAAUAAAGGAUUAGGAUAGAGCGGUAUAUUCGAAUUCACCCAUAAGGUACUGUGUGAAUUGAAUUCCUUAAUUCUUUUUAUUCGUGAUCUAGAUUGGUGGAUUAUAUUACAAAAUGGUGGUGUAGCAUAAUGAUUUUAUGUUGUUUUAUAGCUAUUAUUGUUCAUUUCUUCAAACAUCAGUAAAUAAGAUUGAAGAACAGGUGCAUUGUCCUAAAACCAAAUGAACUUGAGUAAAAACCAUCAGCUCUAGGGAUUUUCGAAGAACUUGGAUGUCACUUUGUUUAUUGAAAACCAAAUGAUGGAAAGAAAUAGGAAGGUAGUAUCGAAAUUAGGAAUAACCUUUAGUUUACAAUAGAUAAGUUAGUUGAUUUUGUCUGUGUACACUCGGGUAUACUAUUUUUUAUUUAUGUUAAUGAGCCUCACACAAAUCUUCAAUUUGGUUGACUUUAGGACUAAUAUUAGGUUCUGGAAGUCUAGAAUGACUAUUGAAUAUAUAAGGUGAAGAAAUCUAAAUAUUCAAUAUUGAAAUUAUUUUAUACCUUGAUCUUAGCAUAUGAUAUUGGAAGUAGUUUACUAAAAUUAGGUAAGUUAUAUUGAGACAUUGAUAUUUCAAUUGGCUAUAUGCUAUGCCUUUUUCAUAUUUUUUUUAUCCUAAAGAUUGAAGGAGAAAUUUUAUUUUUGGAUGAGAUGCUAUGAUUCGCAAAAGUGAAUUAAAAUGGAAUUUGUAUUAAUGGAUAAAUUAUUACUUUAAGUAUUAUAUAUUGUUGGAAAGCUUGCUGAAUCUAUUUUUCAAUGAAACAAACGUAAGUUGAAUCAGAGUUUUCUAUUAAGAGUUAUCUAAUUUUUACUUAAUGAUAUGUAGACUGCUUGACAGCAGUAGCAAUAAGGAAUUACAAAAUUUCUCUGAAUUUUUAUACAAUGAAUUACGAAUUGAGCCAUACAUGUUUAAAAAGGUUAUUGAGUUUAUAUUCCAAUGAAACAAGCAGAAUUGAAUUUGGAGUCUUUUAUGAAUAAAUAUAUCAUUUUGAUUACAAUAUAUACAUGCUAUCUAGUAGUAGCAUAUGACAUGGAUUGCGAAAAUUAUUACAAUUAAUCUACAAUAAAUUACGAGGUGGGCCAUAUAUGUUGUCAUAACAUCUAGAUCCGGGGAUCCUUUGCUAGAUAUUGUCUUUAGGAGUGAUCAUUAAUCUUUUUUAUCUAUGAGCGAUUGGUCAUCUAGGGAAUUUAUCCUUUUAAAGAACACCUAAGCCUAAGGGUCCCUAAAAGAAUAGUUUCAUGUUUACUAAUCAGAACAGGGUUCAAGAGUACGGUUAUGUGUGAAAAAGGUUAUAACACCCUUACAACGCCCAUCGAAAGAUGGUACCAGCUUAAUUUUAUGUUAUCCAAUAAGUUUUAAAAAUUUACUAGAUAAUUAAUUAUUAGAAAUUAUUCUCAAUUGACUAUAAAACUUUUAGUAAAAAAUUAAAAAAAAAUUUUCACCCAAAGAGUAUGCAAGGAAACUACUGUUUCACUUGCAGAAGCUCUAUCGUCAGAUUAUUUAACAUUAAAGAAAAUUCAAAAAGGAAAAGAAAUAAAAUGGGAAAAAAGAAUAAUAAUUCAACUUUAGAUAUAAAUCUUUCUCUUCAAAAACUUAUUACUUUUGUAUAAGAAAAAUUGAUACUUUUAACUUUUCCUCAAAAGAAUUUGAGAGUUUCUAUUUUAAGGACAAUUGAUACUUUCAACUUUUCCUUAAAACAUUUUUUUUAAGAAAAAUUGGUACUUCUAACUUUUUCCCAAAAUAUUUUUCUGAAACUUUAAUUUUGAGGAAAAUUGAUACUUUCAACUUUUCUUCAAAAAUAUUUUUUUUAAAUUUAUUUUUAAGAAAAAUUGAUACUUUUACCUUUUCCUCAAAAAUAAUUUUUAGAAAAUUAUUUUCAAGGAAAAUUGAUACUUUCAACUUUUUCUCAAAAAUAUUUUUUUAGAAUUUUAUUUUAAGAAAAUCAUUAAAAAAUAAAAAUAAAAAUAAAAUAAGGAAUACAAAAUUAUUCUAAUCUAAUCAAUAAAUAAUAAUAAUAAUAAUAAAUAAGAAAAAAAAAAUUUUGGAACAGCUCGGCUUGAGAGAUAGAAGUGGUUUAAACGUGAGGCUCAGCUAGAAACGGCUCGAUUGGGCUGGGCUAGGGUCUAGGUAAAAAUGCGGGUCGCUAAUCGGGUUGGUGCUCGGGUUGAGUCACCCGAUUUCAAAACGUGCUGAUCUUCUGGGAAUAGUAAGGCUAAAACGACAUCGUUUUCAGUCGGUAUAAAAGGCUUCAACCUCUGUUUUUUUACAGAUUGCUUCCUUCUUCCUCUUUUUUUCUUUUUUUUUUCUCCUCCUUCUCUCUAAAUAGAAUCCAAAUCUCAGUUGAAUAUCUGCUGAAAUCUGAAAAAAAACAGGUCAAAAACUUCGAAGUUGGCCGAAAAUCUCGCCAAAAAAGUUGAAUCUUACCGAAAAAUUUCACUGGAUUCUGAAAAAUUUUUAGAAAUUUUUAGAAAAAAAAUUCUAAAAUUCUAAAAUCUUUCCCAUAAAUUCCUAACACUGUUUCUAACGCACCAGAACUUUUUUUAACCUCUGUUUCCUCUCUGUGUAUUUUUUGAUCUUUUUGUGUGCUCUCUGUGGACCUAUUUAUAAGGAUUGAUCAGAAGAGUUUCUGAUCAAUCCCAACUCCUUCUGGGAUUUUGAUUCAAUCUUUGAAUCCAAUCCCAAUCCUGCUAACCUCUAAUUUCACGGCCAAAUCCAAUUUUUUUAUCCUAAUCCUAUCCGAAAAUCAAUCAAGAUAAAACAAAAAAAACACAUAUAAUAAUUAAUAGAUAAAUAAUAAAAAAAUUAUAUUAAUAAAUAAUAAUAAAAAAUAAAUAAAAUGGGCUUACCCAUUUUGACUAGGCCCAAUUGAUCCAAGCCUGGACCAAAUUGGGUGUCUACAUAUUUUUGAAAAGGUUUUUGAGUCUAUUUUUCGAUUAAACAAGCGAAAUUGAAUUUGGAGUCUUUUAUGAAUAAAUAUAUAAUUUUUAUUAGAAGAUAUGCAUACUAUCUGAUAGCAACAUAUAACAUAGAUUGCAAAAGUUAUUACAAUUAAUCUACACGAAAUUAUGAUGUGGGCCAUAUAUAGUUAAAAAAUUUAUCGAGUUUAAUUUCUAAUGUACUAAAAAGAUUUUAAUUUUGAGUUGGAUAUCUUAAGAUAGGGUCAUUUUAGUGAAAGUAGCAUAGGCUACCAAAAUUAGUUAGUUAACCCUUAUAUAACUUAGUUGUUUUUAGUAUUAAUGGUCUUAAAGUGGAUUGAUUAAUUUCUGUUAUAUUGAAAUGAUUUUGAAUAGCCUAUUAAUUAUUUUGAGGGAAAAACUAAGUGGUGGAACCAAAAGGAAAUAAGUAGAAUCUUACACACUUUGCUUAUUUUGAAACUUAUGUAUAUAUGUAUGUUUCUAAAUAAAUGAGAUUUAUUUCUUUAUUUUCGAUAUAAGAAAAUAGGUUGAGCAUAUGAUUAUUUUAUGUUUUGCUAUAUAAAUGAUGGAUCAUGUUUAUAAAUGAAAUGAGAAAUUGAUUUAUGUUUAAUGAAUGAUUUUAUAAUAGCUACAUAUUUUACAUCUUGAGAAAUGGGAUUAUCGAUACCAGAACUAGUUAUACUACCCUAGCUAACGGAUUAUAAAAGUUAAUAUAGUCACGAUCAAAUGGCACUACUAGUGGGUCAUAGUAGUUAGUGUAAAGGUUUGGCCAGCAGGCUAUAAUAGUUAGUAAAGAUCAUAAGGAUAAAAUUAUCGAUAUUGCCAAUGUUACGGAUUAUAGUAGUAAUCAUAGUUAAUGAUAAACUAAUGAUAAUGAUGAUUUAUGAUAAUGAUGAUUUUAAAGAUUGAUUCAUGAUUUGAUUUAAUUACGAUAUUUGAAUGGUAACAUAUUUUGUAAUGAUUUAUGAAUUGAUCUAUUUUGAUUUUGAUUUAUGAUCUACAAAAUAUUUGACAUAAUGUUGAUUUUUGAAAUAUUUUGAUGUAUUAUUUGACAAAUGUUUCGAAUUAUCUAUAUGAUAUGUAUGAAACCGAUGUUUGAUCCGAUAAAAUGUAUGAUCUUAUACUAGAUUAGCUGUAAUUUGUUCAUUCUCUUUCUACCUUUUCUUUACACAUGAGUAACUGAUAAGUAUAUUUAGUCUUAUUAAAAGCUAGAAGAUCAAAUUUGGAAAUAUUACUUGGACAUUAGAAAUAUUGUUAGCUAGUGAGAUCUUAUGAAAUUAUUUUAUAUGUUUUUUAUUAAUUAACCUUUGGAUAUAUAGAGAUGUAUCACUAGUUAGAUUAAAUUUAUGAAUUUUACUUGGCAAAUUAUUUUUAUUAAAGAAUUUUAAAAUGAUUAAGAGAAAAAAUUUCGUAUUACUUUAAAGUUUUAUUUGAAGAUAAUAUAACGGUGUUACAUCUUAGUUUUGGGGCAUGACACCAUUAUUAGACAAGUCUUGACCAGAUUGGAUUACGUAUCAGCCAAUUUGUCAGGCAUUGCAACAGAUUUCAGGUAAUUGGAGAGUCUGCUAACAUGACAGGCUUGAGCUAGUUUAAUUUCUGCUUUUGCUUUGUGAGAAUAUUCCAAUGAAGUGAGGAAAGAUAGAUAAAUUUGAUUAUGAACUCGAAUCCAUUUUUGAUAGUAUAGUUAGACUCUGAAAGGGAGGAGGUUAAGAUUUAAAUCUUCGUGAAACCUCCUUCGAGAUGGAAACUUGGGAAGGAGAGCAGCGACUCGUUUGGCACUUUUCAAAUAUGAUGCAUACUGAAGGAUGACAGGAGUAUCAUUCUUUCCUGCAUCAAUUUUGUCACGGUCCAAGCUUAUUGUCUGAAAAGCACUAGCCAAAGGCAAGACAUGGAUGCCGUGACUAUUCUCCUUUCCUACCAGGUCCUUAAGCGCCUUCUUCUUGAAAGUCCAGCUGCCAGUUCUCAGGUUGAAAUGGUAUAGAGGAAGAAAUCGUUGGCCAUAGAUGGCUACGAACUCCAACGCCGCAAGAAUGUAUUCAAACUCCUCAUUUGACAUGUAGUAAGGAAAGCUGACUCUUGUCCAUCCAGGUUUUGCUCCUAUGUAGCCCUGCAAUCAAACUUUGCAAUUGGCAUUAGAUAAGUUGAAUUAUAUUUUACUUCUCUUUCAUUUGGUCAAAAAAGAAAAAAAGGAAAAUUUUGUACUGAUACCC